rnacentral:misc_RNA from 1 species
GUAGGUGAACCUGCGGAAGGAUCAUUAAUGUAAACCCCUCGUGGGCAAAUACAAAUCCACAUACCUCUGUGAACCGUUGACCUCCGGGUCGUCUUUACAAACAUCAGUGUAACGAACGUAUACAAACCUAAACAAAACAAAACUUUCAACAACGGAUCUCUUGGCUCUC